rnacentral:sRNA from 1 species
CGAACCGUCAUCUGGGGAGUAGCCGCCGCGUUCGCGCGGAGCCCCGCAUCAACAUACUUGGCCGAGAGGUCAUGGUGCGGGGAGGACAGAGCGAUCUGUCGAGGCGAGACCACUGACGCCGUGCUUUCGGUCUGCCGGGCGGGAAGGCACAGCGUCUUUGGUUGUUCGUCUGCCC